rnacentral:lncRNA from 1 species
UGGAUCAAGGAGUAAUUUUGACUUUCAAAUCUUAUUAUUUCAGAAUUACAUCUUAUAAGGCUAUAGCUGCCAUAGAUUGAUGGAUGUGUGCAAAGUAAUUGAAAAACCUGGAAAGGAUUGACCAUUCUAGAUGCCCUUAAGAACAUUUGUGAUUCAUGGGAGGAGAUCAGAAUAUUGACAUUAACAGGAAUUUGGAAGAAGUUGAUUCCAGCCCUCAUGAGUGACUUUGAGGGGUUCAAGAUGUUAGUGGAGGAAGUAACUGCAGAUGUGAUGGAAAUAGCAAGGGAAUAAAUAGAGCCUGAAGAUGUGACUGAAUUACUUCAGUGUCAUGAAAAAACUUGAACAUAUGAGUAGUUACUUUUUAUGGAUGAGCAAAGAAAGUGGAUUCUUGAGAUGGAAUCUACUUCUGAUAAAGAUGCUGUGAACAUUGUUGAAAUGACAACAAUGGGUUUACAUAAACUUAGUGGAUAAAGCAGUGGCAGCAUUUGAGAAAAUUGACUCCAAUUUUAAAAGAAGUUCUAGUAUGGAUAAAAUGAAGCAUUGGAUGCUCCAGAGAAGUUCUUCCCGAAAGGAAGAGUCAAUUGAUGUGGCACACUUCACUGUUGUCUUGUUUUAAGAAAUUGCCACAGGCCACCCUGCCUUCAGCAACCACCACCCUGAUAAGUCAGCAGCCAUCAGUAUUGAGGCAAGACCUCCCACCAGCAAAAGAACUACAGUUUGCUGAAGGCUUAGAUGAUCAUUAACAUUUUUUAGCAAUAGAGUAUUUUUAGAUUAAGUGUUUUUCUGAUGUUCAAGUGGCAGUAGGUGUGGGAAGCCGUUGCAAGCAGUAUCUCCCAAGAGUGAGCUUAUUCUCCUAUUGUAGAUAUCAGGAUAUCAUUGCUUUCCUUUUCUGCACUGUAUCAUGUUUUAGUUAUUUUAUGGAAAUCUAUCAGAGUGGAAGAGCAAAAGGUCAGUUGGAAGAGAAAAAAGAUGAAACUGAAACUAAAAGUGGUUAAAUAUACUUACAUUAGGUAUCAAUUACUACUUGUAUAUUAUCCAUGUUACAUUUUAAAUUUGCAUUGGCUUUUUUGUUGUUCUUUAGGUACCUUGCUAGGAUUAUUGAUUUUGUUCAUUAUGAGCAGAUCUGAGUGCCUAUCAUGUACAUAAUAUUUCUGUGACCAGUUCAUUCAUUGUGCUCAAGUGAUAAUAACCAAUUUUAAUAUUAAUUCUGUAAAACAUAUAGCGCUUAAUAUUCCUCACAUAUGGAGCUUAAUCUUCCCCCACAAAUUUUAUUUUGUAUAUUUUAAUUGCAAAAAUAAAGGAUUUAUUCAUAUUGUAGCUAGUUUGCAUCAGCAUGAAUUAAUAAGUUUCACUAUUUUUCUUGUUAGCAUUUUUAAGUUUUAUUGAAUUAGAUGGGUAAAUGAAUAGUAAUUAUAUUAUCUGCAGUGUAAUUAUCUUUGAUUUCAGUUAUUCACACCAUCUCUUUACAAGUGAUAAUCAAAAAUUAUUUCAAAGUUUGAAAAUUUUUAACAUAAAAUUUCUGCUCAAUUUUUAUACUUUUUAAAUUUCCUUCAAGUAAUAUAUGCACAUAGUUAACAAUAAGAUAGUACCAAAAGACUUAAGGUGAAAAAUAGCAGUCUUCUUUCUAUUUCUGUUCCACUCUACAGUCCUGCACUCCAAAAGCAAUUACUCCUAAUUUUUUCCCCAUUUCUUAAGGUAUUUACCUACAUAAUUUAAAAUAAUAUGGCUCUUCUACUAAUUUUUUGGCUUAAGCAGUUUUCUUAUGAUAAUUGAAGAGUUAGCUCUUUUAUUAUGCCUCUCUCCAUUCUUUCUCCAUUCUCUUGCUAUAGUUAUGUCAUGAAUUUAAAAUCUAUUUUUGGUAUUUAUAUUACUUGAUUAUGGAAAUACUGUUUAUUUGUGAACUAAGUAGUUCACUUUUUUUUUUUAAAGCAUCCAGUGUUACUAUUAAUAAGUAGAAAGCCAUUCUGAUUUCUCUCUGGAAGCGUUCAAGAUUUCCUUUACCCCUGGUGCUCACAAGUUUUGUGAUGCUGUGCUUUGAUAAGUGUCUUUUUUUCAACCUUUGUGCUGAUAUUUGAUGGGUCUUUUUACUUUUUAAUUUUUGGGGAAAAAUUCAUGUGUGUGUUUUUUUUUCUCUUCCCUUUUUUUGAUUCUUUCUGGGCUUCCUGUUAGUUGAAAAUUCUGUUCCCUAGGUUAAUUUGCCUAAUUUUUAAAGUGUUUUUCUCCUAUAGUUUAUCUCUUAGGCUUUUUGUCUUAUUUUUCUAGUUGUCCUUCACUUCAUCUUUCUGUCCGUCUACUGAAUUAUAAAAAUUGUAUUAUCAUAGUUUUAAUUUCUUAGAGGGGUUCCUUAUUCUCUGUUCCCAUUUUAAUAUUAUGUCUUUGAUUCAUGGGUACAACAUCUAUUCUUAUUUUUCUGAGAUUAUUAAUAAGAGUUUAUUGAUGUCAUUCCUCCUACUUCCUAAUUUCUUUUGGCACAUUUUGGUCUUUGCUUUUCUGUUGCAAGCUUUUGUCAGAUUCUUCAAGUCUUAGUUCUUGCAAAAGCAGAAUCUAAAAUACCCUAUCUUUGGUUUAUUUGGAAGGUGAUUCCAGGAAUUAUAAUGAGAGAAUAAGGAGGUGAGACAGGGAAGAGAAGAAGUCCAGUAAAAGGUGUAUUGAUUUUGUGGGUUAUCGUUUGGAGCAGCUGGAGCUCAAUACUGCUGGAGACUUUCAGAGAGACUGUGUAGAACUGCACUGUCUAAUACUAAUCACUAGCUACAUAUGGCUAUUAAAAUUAAAAUUAAAAUGAAUGAAAUUAAGUAAAAUUAGAGAUUCAGUUUGCAUUCACACCAGCCACACUUUAAGUGCAGAUGUAGAACAUUAGACAGUGCAGAUAUAGAACACUCCAAUUCAGUCCAGUCCAGUGCAGAUAUAGGACAUUUCCAUCAUGGUUUAUAACAUACCUUAGAAUUGUACCAUGGAGGUUCAGGAAAACUGACCUAUUUAUCUACCAUCAUCUGUCCCUUAUUGAUUAAGAGUUGCUCCUAGAGUUACUGACUCCCUGUCACUUAUGGCCUGCGCCACACAGGGGCUGUGUCAUUUCUGCUACCUUACUCAUUUCCACUGGGUACCUAGUAACACCAAAUGCAGAGUUUCUCUAGUUCAUUUUUUUCUAGAGAUCCAAAUCCUGGUCUUCUGUCAGUCUGAGGCAAGUAGUCACUUGACUGAAUGUGGUGGAGGGAAGAUAGUCUUUUAUAAGUAUGCAGAUUUUUAACCAAAUUGCUCAUAUUUUUUUGGGGAAAUCUUACCCCAGUAUCCCAUGGCAACUGUUACAUUCGAGUUCCAAGCCUUUGGAGGAUUCCAUGGAGUAAAUUGACUUCUUAUUCUUGUCCUUUACCACAGGCAUUCUGAUUGCAGUUUUCCCUGAUCUGCAAAUUACUACCACUCUGUAGCUUAAGAAAAAUUAUGAUAUAUAGUAUUUCAAACAUGUGGAGAAGUAUAAAGAAAAAAUAUGCUUGCAAUUCAUAUAGUGCUGGGAUAAAUUCAACUAAGCCCUGUAGGGUUGUCUUUUUUUUUUUAAUACCAGGAAUCUUUUGUUUAAAUUUUAGGAGACUUGUCACCACUCAGUGAUAUCAAGGCUGCUGGGGUUAUUAUGUCCUUUUUCUUCUCCUUUGCUGUGUUUAGGUGGCUACUAGUUUAUUGAGAAAUUUUUGGUCUAUUUGCAUAAGAGAUCUUAGCAUAUUAUAAUGUUCUUUCUAUGUAACAUUUGUCUGCAUUUGGUUUUGAUGUCCAGGUAACACUAGAUUUAUGAAAAAAGUUUGUGUUACCUCUUUUUCCGUUAUGUGGAACAGUUUGUACAAAAUUAAUAUUAGUUGUUCCUUAAAUGCUUGGUUGAACUACCCAGUUUAGGCCCGGUUGUUUGUGUGUGUGUGUGUGUGUGAGACAUUCCUUCUUACUAGUUUAAUAUUUUUCUUUUUAAAACACCUUAAAUGUAGUUUUUUCAGUUAGAGUCUGUUAGUGGUAAGUUCUUUUUGUGUUUCUGGAAGUUUCUUUGUUUAACUCUCACUCUUGGAUGAUAGUUUAGCUGGGUAUAGAAUUCUGACAAGUCUGUUUUGAGUUUUUUCUUCCUUAAAUCUUUUGAAAAUUUUCUAAGUUUUUUCUUAUUUUCAGUUUGGCUUGAUGACCAUGUGGCUUGAUAUGUGGCCUGAAUCUUACUUAAAUAUUAGGUCUAUAGAUUUAACAAGUGAAAACUAAUUUUUAUAAUUCAUUUCCUAGUUUUUAUUUAGAUACCAGCAAUAUUCAUGAUAAAAAGUACCAUAUAGUCUCAGAUAUCUUUAAUUUUAAUGGUUAGAAUUAUGUUAAAAUAUUAAACCAGCAUGUCUGAAUCAUGACUACAUAAUAAAGCCUAUUGAUUUAAUUGGUUUGAGGUGGGAGUCCAAGCCUGUAUUUUCUUUCAGUGUGCUCAAAUAAUUCUAAUGUGCAGCCAGAGGUUAAAGAACAUGAAGUUACAAAUUGAGCUGUAAAUUCAGAGAUAUUCUAAUACAAAUCUCAACUGUCUUUUUCUUUUUGUUUUGUUUUUAUUUAAAAAGUUGGCAGCCUAAAUUCAAAAUGUAUGUGGAAAGACAGAUCAAUAGUCAAAGCAAUAAAAAAGAAGUACAUCAUUGGAUUUAUAGUUCCUGAUUUUGAGAUUUACUUAAAGACAAUGUGGUAUUAGUGAUAGAAUGGAUAUUAUGGACAAUAGACCCACACAUACAUAUUCAGUUGGUUUUUGGCAAAGGUGGUAGGGCAUUUCAAAGGAGGAAGUAAUAAUAUUUACAACAAAUGUGCUGGAAAAACUGUAUAAUACGUAUGUAAUAAAAUGUAUACUGACUCUUACCUCACAUCAUGCAGGAAAGGUGAACUUAAAAUGUGUCAUAGACCUAAAUUUAAAACUAAAAAAAGCUGUAAGACAUCUAGAA